rnacentral:lncRNA from 1 species
CAUGAAAUGAAACUAUUAAAGAAAAUUGCAAUUGCCAAUUGGGUGUCAUCGCUGCAUUCAAUUGGGUGUUAUCGCUAUUUGCAUGUAUAUACGAUACCAACUUGUUUUUAGCGAAGAUUGUCCGUAGUUGUGGAGUUUAAAGUUCAUGCAGAAAACUAUAGAAUAUUAUAUUAGAGUUUUGAAACGCUCACCUUUUCUUCUUUGUCUUUGUACCGCAACACUGUAAAUCUGUAACUAACACAACUCUUGCACGAAGCAUGGAAUUGUCUUGUCGAAAGUCCAAAUGACGAAACGUUACGUCAUAUCCAUGCAGUGACCAGUCAAUUUUAAGUUAUCGUUCUUCAUAAUAUUGUAUAGUAUUCAAGUCAAAUAAAAUAGGUUUAAAUUUAAUCACCGGCGAACGUUGACUUCUUUAAAUAUCGUAUAAUAAGCGAAUGUUCGUUUACAUAUCGUAUAAUAAGCGAAUGUAUUCAUUAGUUAAGUUAGUACCAACCUGAAGCUGUGAUGCAGUAUACUAACUCCUUUCAUCUACACCAAUAUAUUAUAUAGAUAUUUUUAUUAUAUAACAUAUGAACGUCUGUAGAUGACACCAUAGUGUUUGAAGAUUGCCUCGUUGUUCUAUUGCAUUUCAUGGUUUGUCUCGUCUCUAUUUUUCAAUGUGGUUAAGAGUUUUAAUUUGUCUAUUUUUGUGAACAUUAUAAGAUAUAGAAAACAGCCGCGUGGCAGAUAAUCUGUUCAUGGAUACAGUUUUUGAACUCGUCGAGAAAUGUAGUUUGACCGCCCCGCCGACCACGUAUAGCGACGGAAUAACUUCGUUAAAUACGCAUCACUCACGAGUCUUCGCGUCCAUUUUCUUUGGUAUGCGACGUGUUGGAACACUAAGGUCGAAGCCAUUCCUUGCGACCCCAGGGUUUCCGUGGCUCGACAGAUGUAGUAUAAGAAUUUAUCCCGCGUAACAUAUCACGAAAUCACGUUAUAUAACGCAUACGACGCUUGGCCCAGAAGACCAAAUUUGAACAAAACAUUGUACGUAUCCUCGUCAUCUUAACGUCGUUUUGUCCAAGUGUAUAAGGAAUGUGAAAGCGACAGAACCGCCAGAGCGUCAGUUUGCUUUUUUGUCUGGCGUCAUGUGAAGAGAUGAAGAAAACGGCGUGAAAUAUGAAACAAGGUCUG